UCCGGCUAACUUCGUGCCAGCAGCCGCGGUAAUACGAAGGGACCUAGCGUAGUUCGGAAUUACUGGGCUUAAAGAGCACGUAGGUGGUUAAGAAAGUUGGUGGUGAAAUCCCCAAGGCUUAACCUUGGAACUGCCACCAAAACUUUUUAACUAGAGUAUGAUUGAGGUAAGCGGAAUUUCUAGUGUAGAGGUGAAGUUCGUAGAUAUUAGAAAGAACACCAAUUGCGAAGGCAGCUUUCUGGAUCAUUACUGACACUGAGGUGCGAAAGCAUGGGUAGCGAAGAGGAUUAGAUACCCUCGUAGUCCAUGCCGUAAACGAUGUGUGCUAGACGUUGGGAAUUUAUUUUUCAGUGUCGCAGCAAAAGCGUUAAGCACACCGCCUGGGGAGUACGACCGCAAGGUUAAAACUCAAAUGAAUUGACGGGGACCCGCACAAGUAGUGGAGCAUGUGGUUUAAUUCGAAGAUACGCGCAGAACCUUACCAACACUUGACAUGUUCGUCGCGACUCUAAGAGAUUAGAGUUUUCGGUUCGGCCGGACGAAACACAGGUGCUGCAUGGCUGUCGUCAGCUCGUGUCGUGAGAUGUUGGGUUAAGUCCCGCAACGAGCGCAACCCUUACUUUUAGUUGCUACCAUUUAGUUGGGCACUCUAGAAGAACUGCCGGUGAUAAGCUGGAGGAAGGUGGGGAUGACGUCAAGCCCUCAUGGCCCUUAUGUGUUGGGCUACACACGUGCUACAAUGGUAUUUACAGUGGGAUGCAAAGAGGCAACUCCUAGCCAACCCUCAAAGAAUACCUCAGUUCGGAUUGUACUCUGCAACUCGAGUACAUGAAGCUGGAAUUACUAGUAAUCGCAGAUCAGCGCGCCGCGGUGAAUACGUUCCCGGGUCUUGUACACACCGCCCGUCACACCAUGGAAGUUGGUUACACCUUAAGGCAAAGUGUAAAACC
rnacentral:rRNA from 1 species